GGACGAUCAGGGACAAGUCACCUGGCCAAACUCCACCCACGCGGGAGCUGCCAGCAGUGUUAACAAACGCUCCUCUGUGUCAACAUGUUCCUUUCUGGCACUCUCACACACCCAAGAAAAAUGAAGCUGCGUCACGGUUCACAGAAGCAACGGACGACGACCACGACCCCACACGUGGAACGAAGGGCUCCGAUUGGUCAGCUGUUAGUGAAGACGUUGCUGCAUUUAGGUGCAGUUGGAUUCCUGCGAUUCGAUUCCCUCUCACUACCAGCAUAUCCUUCCUCUAAUACAAUAAUGUCACAGCUUUUUUGAGAGCCGUCAGCAGAUUCUCCCAGCAUGCCGAGGGAGUCAGCUGAACGAGCGCUCCUUCCAGCAGCUUUUAAUGAAGCAGCUUCAAUGUCUCGGUUAACGACGGACGAUGAAGAGUGAAGAGAGAGAGCGGGAGAGAGAGCGAGGUGGAAGGAGAAGCAGCAUCACCUGUCAUUCACACAGCAGCAACCACCAGUUAACUACAGCCUCUUCAGUUCGUCAUGUGACCACAUUUGUCCCGAUUGUGUCUCCUGGUGAAGAGGAGGAAGUGAAGUGGCCACCCAGCCCUCCACCACCUGCUCCUUUUCUUUUCCUUCUCGUUACCUCGAAAUUCAGGUGGAGCCACAAAGAGACCACAUCCACCAU